GGACUACACGGGUAUCUAAUCCCGUUCGCUCCCCUAGCUUUCGCACCUCAGCGUCAGAAACGAGCCAGGACCCUGCCUUCGCCUUUGGUGUUCCUCCGGAUAUCUACGCAUUUCACCACUCCACCCGGAGUUCCAGGUCCCUCUCUCGCUCUCAAGUCCACCAGUUUUCAAAGUCCUUCACCAGUUAAGCUGGUGACUUUCACCCCGAACUUAGCAGACCGCCUGCGUGCCCUUUACGCCCAAUAAUUCCGGACAACGCUCGCCCCCUACGUAUUACCGCGGCGGCUGGCAC
rnacentral:rRNA from 1 species